AAUGAACGCUAGCGGCAGGCUUAAUACAUGCAAGUCGAGGGACAGCACAGGUAGCAAUACUGGGUGGUAACCGGCAAACGGGUGCGGAACACGUACACAACCUUCCUUUAAGUGGGGGAUAGCCCAGAGAAAUUUGGAUUAAUACCCCGUAAUAUAGUUGAAUGGCAUCAUUUGAUUAUUAUAGCUACGGCGCUUAAUGAUGGGUGUGCGGCUGAUUAGAUAGUUGGCGGGGUAACGGCCCACCAAGUCUACGAUCAGUAGCUGAUGUGAGAGCAUGAUCAGCCACACGGGCACUGGGACACGGGCCCGACUCCGACGGGAGGCAGCAGUAAGGAAUAUUGGUCAAUGGACGCAAGUCUGAACCAGCCAUGCCGCGUGAAGGAUUAAGGUCCUCUGGAUUGUAAACUUCUUUUAUUUGGGACGAAAAAGGGCCUUUCUAGGUCAACUGACGGUACCAGAUGAAUAAGCACCGGCUAACUCCGUGCCAGCCGCCGCCGUAACAC
rnacentral:rRNA from 1 species